CCGCAAUUUUAUCAAACCCUAUUAUUUUCAUUCUGAUGCAUUAAACUAAUUCAUAAUAUUAUUCUUUUCAUGCCAUAUUUCUCUUGUUUAUCCAGGACAUAUUUGCUGCUGGAACUGAUACCUCAGCAUCAACGUUGGAGUGGGCAAUGGCAGAAAUGAUGAAAAAUCCAAGAGUGAGGGAAAAGGCACAAGCUGUAAUAAGACAAGCAUUCAAAGGAAAGGAAACAAUACGUGAAACUGAUCUAGAAGAACUUAGUUACCUAAAGUCAGUGAUCAAAGAAACGUUAAGGUUACACCCUCCUUCUCAGUUGAUCCCUAGAGAAUGCAUCAAAUCAACCAACAUUGAUGGGUACGAAAUACCAAUAAAGAGUAAAGUCAUGAUAAACACAUGGGCAAUUGGAAGAGAUCCCCAAUAUUGGAGUGAUGCUGAGAGGUUUAUCCCAGAGAGAUUCGAUGGUAGUUAUAUCGAUUUCAAAGGGAAUAGCUAUGAGUAUAUACCUUUUGGGGCAGGAAGGAGAAUGUGUCCAGGCAUGACAUUUGGUUUGGCUAGCAUUACGCUUCCAUUGGCUUUAUUACUCUAUCACUUUAAUUGGGAACUCCCAAAUAAGAUGAAACCUGAAGAUUUGGAUAUGAAUGAACACUUUGGAAUGACAGUUGGCAGGAAAAACAAAUUGUGUUUGAUUCCCACCGUUUACCAAGCUACAUGAUACUUAUAUUUUUUAAUAGGCAAAAAAAGAUUUAAUAAAAGUACCAAUGUUACCAGUGAUAAUGUUUGUAGUACCUGUUGAUAUCUCUACCCUUUGCGGAGUCUUGUCUAAUGUAAUUUAUUGUUUGUUACUGAAUCUAUAAUAUAUAAUCCAAUAUUUUUAAAUUUGAAUUGAUGAGUAAAUUGAUGAAGACACUGGUUUAAGCUUUAAUGAUUCAAUACGUGUUGAAUCAUGUUGAAUUAAUUUUAUAUAUUUUAAUAUUAUAUAAUAUUUUAAGUAAUAAAAUAGUAAAAUUAGGGUCUGAAAAAUUAUAAAAUUUGUAUAAAUAAUUUAAUUAUAUGGUUCACAAGAUAAAGAUUAAUAACCGUUAACAAAAUAAUUGAUAAUUAUGUAAAAUAUUUAUGUAUUUUUAUUUAUAUUUAAAAUAUUUUAGAUUAAAUAAAAAACAAUUUACUUUUUAAAAAGACUGAUUCAAAAUCGAUUUUUCCUAAUUCUCACUAAUUCUAAAAUACUGCAGUUUUUGGAGUAUCCAAAGUGAUCACAAGUUUUCUCUAGUGGAUAAUACUUUUUAUGACAUCACAUCAUAUUUCUAUAUAUAUAUAUAUAAUAUAAAUUUAAACAAACCAACCCAAACUACUCGUAUCUAUUUAUUGUCUGAACACUCUUAUCACCUCCACACUAAUAAAUUUAAUAAUUUGCAAACUUUAAAUCAAACUUCACAUGAACUUGUUGAUUAAGAAUUUUAGUACUAGAUUCGAAAACUAUAAAUCAAUAAAUAUAAGAGUUUGAUUUUUAGGACUAAUUAAUACUAAACCAAAACACUUUAAGAAUUUUUUGUUUUCAAACUAACAAUCAUUUAGAUUCUCAAUUUAAUACAUAAUGUAUUUCUCAAAAAUUUAUUAUAAGAAUAAAUUUUAUAGUAAGUAUAAAACAAGUAAUCGAAUUAUGAUAACUGAUUCUUAUGAACCCAUACAUACUUUUUGUAAACUAGUGUAAAAUAAUACUUGAAUUAACAAUAUUUACGAAUAUAUUAAUAUGUUUGUCAUAAUACUAUACAAAAACAUGUAUAAACGAAAGUAAUAAAGAAUGAGCCAUGGGCAGCAAAAUGAGUUACAUUGAAAGAAAUUACUAUAACAGAGAGAGAAGAAAUGAGCAAGAACACAUGUUUCCGUGGAGCCGAAAAACCAUGAUCGAGAAUGACAAAGUUUAGUAUACAAUAAAUAUGCAAAUAUUGGUAACAGAAUAAAAACAGUACAUCCUUGCCUAUUUAUAAAAAAAAAAUACAAAUAAUUGGUCUUCAAAAGCAUAUCUUAACCGUGUCCUUAAAUGUUAACGAACUCUUUCAAAUUUUGCUACUUAUAGUACGCUUCUUCUAAAUUCGAAAGUAUCAGACUGACCAUUCGGUUUAUUAUUCAUAUAUAUAUAUAUAUAUAUAUAUAUAUAUAAUAUUGAAUCUACUAUACAUCUUUCCACACUCCUAUUUCUUUUAUAUAUCUUUCAAUCGAUUCCAUAUUUUCGACAUUGACAAAACAAAUUUUUAUUAUUGUAUUAUCAUUCUUAUUCGAAAGGUAAUUAAUCGAAUAUUUAACUGAGAAUUUUAUUCGAACGUCCCCAACAGAAUUAUAGAAAAUUAACAAUAAAUCCCCGUGGAUAAUUGGAUUUUAAUUUAAGUAUGUUAUCAAAUGUUGGAUCUGAUGUGUAUGGAGAAAAAAUUAUUGAGAGAAAUGAAACUUUAGUAAUUUCUACGUUUUGAAAAGAUUUAAUCUCCAACUAUCGAUUAAAGUUAUUUUUGGUGGUAAAAAAAAAUCCUUUCACACUGGAUCAGGCCAAGUUUGGUGUUCAAUCUUCUUUAGGAUUUAGAUUCCCUCCAUUACGCUAUAACUCUUGUCCAUCACAAAAAUCCCAACUCUGCCCCCGGCAAUAUAUCGUAGAAGUAUGGUCUUGAUAUGAUGUCACAUGGGAUUUGAAUAAAUAAGCCGCCUGAGGAAUACUCAGUCCAAGUCGUGCCUUAAAAAAAUUCCGUCUUAGUCGACCACGACAUGGUAGUUGAUAUUUUUCUGAAGAAUAAAAUAAAAAAUUUCAAUUUUGUCAAAAAAGUAAAAUAAAGUUGAUAUUGGCUGCUGCGUUUAUAUUUUCACAGUGACUUGGUUAAGCAAUUUAAGCAUUAGUGGAAAGCUGCAAUGAACAUGAGUCGAGAUAGCGAUGAAUAAUUAAAUUGUUGCCGUCUUGAUUGAAUUUCAAACCAGUUAAAUUAUUUGUUUUCAUGAUGAAGCGAACCUAAGACGUUGGUAUUUCGGACUGAGAAAAAUAUACUUAAACACUCAAAAUGCCAUUUAAUCCUUAGUAAGACACAAAAAAAAAAUUAUGACUAAUAUAACGUGACAAAGAAAAAAUGAGAUAGAAAAAUAAACCGUUUUCUACCCACAAUUACAAUAAUGUAUCAUCUUUAUAUAGAAUUUUAAUACAGUCAAUUGGUUAAGAAAAUUGACUUUUAGUAAAAAAAUUCUUUCAAUCAUAACUUCAAGAUUCAAAUUUUAAGUUCUUAUUCAAUAGAGUCAUGGAGUAUAUGGAAUUAUGGAGAACGUUAAACAUCAUGUUGAAAAGCGGUAGGUGCAUGUUGGGAGAAAGAAUUGAAUGAUGAUGGAAACACUACAAGCAAGGGCAGGAGUUGUGGAAAUUUGCUGUUAACUUUGUUGUCGUUUUUGCUGUCAACAAUUACUGUUAAUAGGGGCUUACUGUGACUAGCUCAUGUGCACAAUAGGGUGAGAGUGAAUUGGGGAAAAUUGAUAAGUGGCCAGGUUUAAUUUGUUUGUGGGAUACUGUUUUGGACUUAUUUUCUAAUUGCUUGGAAUUUUAUAUAUGUAUCUUGUCUAUUUAUUCCAAUUUGUACAACUUGUGUCAAAUUGAACUUAUCAAUAUUAUUCAAUUUUGUUUAUAAAAAAUAAAAAUAAAAGGAAAUAUAAUCAAUUGUCUACCUAAUUCUCGAGAGAAGCAAAGGUACACAAAAGAAAGAUAUUAAACGCCUAGAAGCUAGGGAAAGCAAUCAAAUUGGUUCACGUAUAUCUCUAGUCAAUAAAGAAGGCUCCAAUAAGUUAAAAUCAACAGUUUAACUUUACCUAUUGUAAAAAUAAAUAAAUGACUGUAUCCUAAAAGGCAUCAUAUGACAUUGCUAUAUAUAUAUACAUAUAUAUUAAAUUAGCACGAGUUAUGAAGAAGAAAAAAAUGUAUUGUCUUUAUAGGAGUUUAUAGAUGACUUCCAGAUAGCUUAAAUUUCUUUUUAAAAAAACUUUCCGGAAGGAAAAACAAACCCACGCAAUUCCAAGAAAACACGCGCCCACACAAGUUGAAAAUAUGUGCUGUAUUGACUUUAUAACAGAUGAACAAAAUAAAAGCUCAGGAUUUUUUUAAUAAGCACAAAUUGUGUGUGUGUUUUUUAUAAUUUAAGUGACGUUUUGUCAUUCUGUUAUAAUAUCAUGAACCAAUUUCUCACACUAUUAUGAUUUAAUUGAGACUAAAAUAGUGAUCCACUCAUGAUUAAAAUAAGAGUAAGACCGUUGUUCGCAUUAGGAUUUAAAUUUCUAUAAGAACUCAAAGGAUUCUCAGCAAACAAUGAACUCCUGAGACCAGUAGUUGAGUCUAGUUGUUUCCCUUAAAGCCAUGGAAUAUUCUCCAUUGUCCAUUGUUAUUACCUUCUUUGUGUUCUUGCUCUUGCAUUGGCUAGUUAAAACUUACAAGCAAAAAUCGAGUCACAAGUUGCCCCCUGGCCCAUGGAGGUUACCCAUCAUUGGUAACCUCCAUCAGCUAGCAUUAGCAGCUUCACUUCCUGAUCAAGCUCUCCAAAAACUUGUCCGCAAAUAUGGACCUCUCAUGCACCUCCAACUAGGUGAAAUUUCAACACUUGUUGUGUCCUCCCCCAAGAUGGCUAUGGAGAUGAUGAAAACCCAUGAUGUUCAUUUUGUGCAGAGGCCCCAACUUCUGGCUCCACAAUUUAUGGUCUAUGGGGCAACAGAUAUUGCUUUUGCUCCAUACGGUGAUUAUUGGAGGCAAAUCAGGAAAAUAUGUACCUUGGAGCUUCUAAGUGCCAAGAGGGUCCAAUCUUUCUCUCAUAUCAGACAAGAUGAGAACAAAAAACUCAUACAAUCAAUUCACUCAUCCGCAGGCUCACCAAUCGAUCUUAGUGGGAAACUUUUCUCUUUGUUGGGAACCACUGUUUCAAGGGCAGCGUUUGGAAAAGAAAAUGAUGACCAAGAUGAGUUUAUGUCUUUGGUCAGAAAAGCUAUAACAAUGACAGGAGGAUUUGAAGUGGAUGACAUGUUUCCUUCAUUGAAACCGUUGCAUUUACUGACCCGACAGAAGGCCAAAGUGGAGCAUGUUCACCAGCGGGCAGACAAAAUCUUAGAAGACAUUCUCAGAAAGCAUAUGGAAAAACGAACAAGAGUAAAAGAAGGCAACGGUAGUGAAGCGGAGCAAGAAGAUCUUGUUGAUGUUCUUUUGAGACUCAAAGAAAGUGGCAGCCUCGAGGUUCCAAUGACGAUGGAGAACAUCAAAGCUGUGAUAUGGGUUAGUAAAUAUUAUGCCAUAAAACUCAUUUUUUUCUUUUUUCUUUUUUUUUUUAAUUUUACCACAAAAAUGAAGGGUAGAACUAUUUACUCACCUUACUUGUUUUUCUGGAAAAGGAAGAAAAACAAAACACCACUUAUAUUAGAUCUUUUAAUAAAUUUUUUACUAGGUAAUUUUAUUUUAAAAUCAAAUAUUAGAAUAAAAGUUAUUAUGAUAUAUAAAAUAUUAGAUUAACUCAAUUUUUUUAUAUUUCAAAAUUAAAUACACACAAAAAUAACCCUUCAUUUUUUUAUUAUUAUUUAGAAGUUUAAAAAAUUUGAUAUUUACAAUCAAAGUAAUCAUGUAGAACAAUUAAGUUAGUUAAACAGAUUUUUUUUUUCGAAAAUUAAUGAGAAAAAAUUGAUAAAAACUUCACAUUAAUAUUAUGAUGAUAAAAAAUAAUAUGUAAUUCUAAUUUAAUGAUUAGAUCAAUAAUUACAAUCACAUUAUACAAAAUAGUUUAUCGCGUUGAUAGUGUAAUUAGCUAACCCGCGAUAUUAUCAAACCUUAUUAUUUUGGUUCUAAUCUAUUUAACUAAUUCAUCAUAUUUUUUCUCUCCAUGUGGAAAUAUUUAUUUUCUUUAUCUAGAACAUAUUUGCUGCUGGAACUGAUACCUCAGCAUCAACAUUGGAGUGGGCAAUGUCAGAAAUGAUGAAAAAUCCAAAAGUGAAGGAGAAGGCACAAGCUGAAUUAAGACAAAUAUUCAAAGGAAAGGAAAUAAUACGUGAAACUGAUCUAGAAGAACUUAGUUAC
rnacentral:lncRNA from 1 species